GGGGACGGUGGCCAUGGAAGU
rnacentral:misc_RNA from 1 species